AAACUCUUCCCAAAUUUCACAGCUGCUGGCUUUCAUACUGGAAUUUACACCAUUUACUUUCCUGAUUCUCAGGCCUUAGGACUCAUACUAGAACUACACAAUUGGAUCUCUCCUGAGAUCUUGGGACUUCUCGACCUCCAUAAUCAUGUUUCUUUCUAACCCUAGGUCCCUGAUCUCAUUUUUCCAGGAUACUUUUCUUUAGGUGAUCAUUCAAAAUACCAGGCACAGCUGCUCACAGAUGACUGACCAAACAGGAAUCUCACUCCAUUUUUCAAUGUUCACCUGCUAACAACUUUUAGACAUCAUCCCUUCCUCAUCGUUUUUGUCCACAUUUGGACACUUCAGACCUCCUUGAGAUCCCUGCCCUGCGUAGUGUACUACUCUUGACAUUUCAGUCAAAUUUUAGUGAAAGUGCCCCCUGCCUUUGCAGGGUGACCAUAACGGCUUGACCCCUGCAGGAACUGAUCGAUCAAGGAAGACAACACAACAGCUGCAUGGAUUUCCUUCACAAACUAUUGUUUUUAUCUUCAUAAUUCAAAGAUUAAACCAUAUGGGUGAAAAAUUGUAUCAUACUCUGAAACCAAGUAGCUGGAAAAUACCCCGAAUUCUGAGGCUGCAUCAGUUAUGCAUCUGAGGAGGGAAGAAUGGCACUAUUUCUUGGAUCUCUACACACCCCAAAAUGUACAAAUAGUUAUUGUGGAGGAGGGACAAAACACACAUUUUUUAGUACCUUUUAUGUGAACAGGCAUUACAAUAGCCAUUGCAUGUGAAUCAGAUUAUUCAAUCCUACAAGUGACAUUAGGAGUUAAUUAUUGUCUGUAUUUUAAUGAUGAGGAUAACGAUAAUUUAAAUAAUUUUCCAGUAGUCACAGACAUAGGAAAAACCAGGGCUCAGGUCAGAAGCGAUCUCUGUUUAACAUGAAAGACCAUGCUAUUUUACUUCAUCUUCUCCAGGAAUUUACAUAUAUUCUUAUUUUGAAUUUUGUACAAUAAGUAGGUACUAUAUUAUUCAUACAAAAUCACUUUAUUAUUAUUAUUUGCAGCUUACUUCAUAUUCAUAUAGCAGUUUCUCAUUAGUUUUUUCCUUAUAGAUAUUAUCUAGCAACUCCCUUUAGAUUUGUGUAUUGACCAAAGUUAUUUUAGUUGUAAACAGCAAAACUAAGUCUGGAUAUUUUAAGCAUAAAAUAUAACUUUGGGAGUAAAAAUGAGGUAGUUUGCAAGAUCAAAGGAACUUUUGAAAGCUAAGCCUUCUAAAGGGUAGGUAGUAGGGAAGAUUCUGGGCAGCAAGAAUAUUUAUGGAUCUUUUCUAUAUAUAUAGAAUUAAAUUUAUUGUCAAAUUGGUUUCCAUACAACACCCAGUGCUCAUCCCAACAGAUGCCCUCCUCAAUGCCCAUCACCCACUUUCCCCUCUCCCCCACCCCCAUCAAGCCUCAGUUUGUUCUCAGUAUUUAAGAGUCUCUUAUGGUUUGCCUCCUUCCUUCUCUGUAACUCUUUUCUUUCCUCCCUUCACUUCCCCUCUGGUCUUCUGUUAAGUUUCUCAGGAUCCACAUAUGAGUGAAACCAUAUGGUAUCUGUCUUUCUCUGCUUGACUUAUUUUACUUAGCAUAAUAUUCUCCAGUUCCAUCCACGUUGCUACAAAUGGCCAGAUUUCACUCUUUCUCAUUGCCAAGUAGUAUUCCAUAUAAACCACAUCUUCUUUAUCCAUUCAUCAGUUGAUGGACAUUUAGCCUUUUUCCAUAAUUUGGCUAUUGUUGAAAGUGCUGCUAUAAACAUUGGGGUACAAGUGCCCCUAUGCAUCAGCACUCCUGUAUCCCUUGGGUAAAUUCCUAGCAAUGCUAUUGCUGGGUCAUAGGGAGAUAAUGGAUCUCUUCUCAAGAGGUCUCUCAAUAAGAAGUUUUAGAUUCAAGUACUCCUAGAUUUUGUUUCUCUUUUCCAUCUUUUAAAAUUCUUGAACAAAGUCUAUGAGAGACCAACUUUGAGUUGUAUAUUUAUUUGCCCCUUGACUUAUGAAUGAUGAAUGUGGAAAGCAAAAUCUUGCAUGCAAACUUGCCCAGUGGAGGUCUACUCAUAUGGAUUGAGGAAAAUAUCCACUAUAAGCUAAAUAAUCACUUCAAGUACAACCUGCAUUGAAUAAAAUACCUGCAUGAAUUAUAAGCCAGUUAUUACUUCAGACAUAUAUAGCUUUUAAAACUUCAUUUUUCACUUAAAUAUUCAUUGAUGUGAGAAAAAAAUGCUAUUUGAAAAUAAAUGUAAUCAUAACACAAAGGAUGCAGUGUUAUAAAUUUGUAAAUGGAGAGUAAAAUUCCUAGACUUAUGAAACUAAAUCAGAUUGUCUAUUUAUGUCUUUAAAGCAGUCUAUUUGCUACAUUUAUUUUCCUGUUAAAUAUUUAUUGUGGCUUCAGUGUUACUCUAGAAAUGGCACAAUAACUUAUGAAAAGCUCAUUAUCUAAGACAGUACACAUGACAAACCAAAGAAAUUGACCACCUACUUCAGAUUUUCUGAAUGUAUUUUAUUGUCCAAAGUCAUGGUUUAUAUGAUCUGAAAAGAAAUACACCUUAGGGUAUUCCAUAAAGUGAAAGGGCAAGCGAUGAUAUUAGUCAAGGACACACAUAAUGGUAUUGACAAUAUUUUAUUUCUUAUCAUACUAAAGUCUAUCUCUUCUACCUGGUAUACCAACACCUAAUGUCUCAUACUUGGCUAUCUGGGUAAA